rnacentral:rRNA from 1 species
CGGGUGCACUGAUCCGGCCGGGCCUUUCCCUCUGUGGAACCCCAUGGCCUUCACUGGCUGUGCGGGGGAAACAGGACUUUUACUGUGAAAAAAUUAGAGUGCUCCAGGCAGGCCUCUGCUCGAAUACAUUAGCAUGGAAUAAUAGAAUAGGACGCGUGGUUCUAUUUUGUUGGUUUCUAGGACCGCCGUAAUGAUUAAUAGGGACAGUCGGGGGCAUCAGUAUUCAAUUGUCAGAGGUGAAAUUCUUGGAUCUAUUGAAGACUAACUACUGCGAAAGCAUUUGCCAAGGAUGUUUUCAUUGAUAAGGAACGAAAGUUAGGGGAUCGAAGACGAUCAGAUACCGUCGUAGUCUUAACUAUAAACUAUGCCGACUAGGGAUCGGACGAUGUUAUUUCUUGACGCGUUCGGCACCUUUCGAGAAAUCAAAGUGCUUGGGCUCCAGGGGGAGUAUGGUCGCAAGGCUGAAACUUAAAGAAAUUGACGGAAGGGCACCACCAGGGGUGGAACCUGCGGCUUAAUUUGACUCAACACGGGGAAACUCACCAGGUCCAGACACAGUGAGGAUUGACAGAUUGAGAGCUCUUUCUUGAUUCUGUGGGUGGUGGUGCAUGGCCGUUCUUAGUUGGUGGAGUGAUUUGUCUGCUUAAUUGCGAUAACGAACGAGACCUUAACCUGCUAAAUAGCCCGUACUGCUCUGGCAGUUCGCCGGCUUCUUAGAGGGACUAUCGG